CGAACGCUGGCGGCGUGCCUAAUACAUGCAAGUCGAACGGUCUUUCUAUGGAAGCUUGCUUCCACUGAGAAGAUAGUGGCGAACGGGUGAGUAACACGUGGGUAACCUGCCCAUAAGAGGGGGGAUAACAUCCGGAAACGGGUGCUAAUACCGCAUAGUUUUCUUGAUCGCAUGAUCGGGAAAGGAAAGACGGCCUUUGUGCUGUCGCUUAUGGAUGGACCCGCGGCGUAUUAGUUAGUUGGUGAGGUAACGGCUCACCAAGACGAUGAUACGUAGCCGACCUGAGAGGGUGAUCGGCCACAUUGGGACUGAGACACGGCCCAAACUCCUACGGGAGGCAGCAGUAGGGAAUCUUCCGCAAUGGACGAAAGUCUGACGGAGCAACGCCGCGUGAGUGAAGAAAGGUUUUCGGAUCGUAAAACUCUGUUGUCAGAGAAGAACAAGUUGGAGAGUAACUGCUCCAGCCUUGACGGUAUCUGACCAGAAAGCCACGGCUAACUACGUGCCAGCAGCCGC
rnacentral:rRNA from 1 species